rnacentral:rRNA from 1 species
AUUUUCGGCAAUGGGGGAAACCCUGACCGAGCAAUGCCGCGUAAACUAUGAAGGUAUUCGGAUCGAAAGGUACUGUCAUUGGGAAAGAAGUGCAUAAUAAGAAUAGCAGUCAUGCUUGCUGUUACCCUAUGAUUAGGCCCCGGCUACUUAUGUGCUAGCACCCGCGGUGAUACAUAGGGGCCGAGCGUUAUCCGGAAUUAUUGGGCGUAAAGCGUGCGUAGGCGGCUUAGUAAGUCUGACGUGAAAUCCAACAGCUUAACGGUGGAGGGUCGUUGGAAACUGGUAGGCUUGAGUACAGUAGAGGUAAGUGGAAUUCCAAGUGGAGCGGUGGAAUGCGUAGAUAUUUGGAGGAACACCAGUGGCGAAGGCGGCUUACUGGGCUGGAACUGACGCUGAUGCACGAAAGCGUGGGGAGCAAACAG